rnacentral:rRNA from 1 species
AGGAUCAACGCUGGCGGCGUGCCUAAAACAUGCAAGUCGGACGGCCACCUUCGGGUGGCAGUGGCGGACGGCUGAGUAAGACGUGGGUGACCUGCCACUUGGUGGGGGAUAACCCCUCGAAAGGGGGGCUAAGACCGCAUGAGGUCCUCGGAUCGGACUGAGGAGGAAAGCCGCAAGGCGCCAGGUGAGGGGCCCGCGGCCGAUUAGCUAGCUGGUGGGGUAAUGGCCUACCAGGGCUGUGAUCGGUAGC